rnacentral:tRNA from 1 species
GUCAGAAAGGCCGAGCGGUCUAAGGCGCCAGACGUCAGGUUGCGCACCUUAUCCAAUACAGAGAGAUUUCUGGUCUCCGAAUGGAGGUGUGGGUUCAAAUCCUACUUCUGACA